ACCAGGGAAGUGCGCGCGAAACUGGCGGGCUUGAGUGCCGGAGAGGGUCGCGGAAUUCCCGGUGUAGUGGUGAAAUGCGUAGAUAUCGGGAGGAACACCAGUGGCGAAGGCGGCUUCCUGGCCUGUUCUUGACGCUGAGGCGCGAAAGCUAGGGUAGCAAACGGGAUUAGAUACCCCGGUAGUCCUAGCCGUAAACGAUGGACACUAGGUGUUGGUGGUAUCAACCCCGCCAGUGCCGAAGCUAACGCAUUAAGUGUCCCGCCUGGGGAGUACGGCCGCAAGGCUAAAACUCAAAGGAAUUGACGGGGGCCCGCACAAGCAGCAGAGCGUGGGGUUUAAUUCGACGCGACGCGAAGAACCUUACCAGGGCUUGACAUGGUCAGGACACCGGCGGAAACGUCGGCUCCC
rnacentral:rRNA from 1 species